rnacentral:rRNA from 1 species
AUUGAACGCUGGCGGCAUGCCUUACACAUGCAAGUCGAACGGUAACAGGUCUUCGGAUGCUGACGAGUGGCGAACGGGUGAGUAAUACAUCGGAACGUGCCCGAUCGUGGGGGAUAACGAAGCGAAAGCUUUGCUAAUACCGCAUACGAUCUACGGAUGAAAGCAGGGGACCGCAAGGCCUUGCGCGAACGGAGCGGCCGAUGGCAGAUUAGGUAGUUGGUGGGAUAAAAGCUUACCAAGCCGACGAUCUGUAGCUGGUCUGAGAGGACGACCAGCCACACUGGGACUGAGACACGGCCCAGACUCCUACGGGAGGCAGCAGUGGGGAAUUUUGGACAAUGGGCGAAAGCCUGAUCCAGCCAUGCCGCGUGCAGGAUGAAGGCCUUCGGGUUGUAAACUGCUUUUGUACGGAAAGAAAAGACUCUGGUUAAUACCUGGGGUCCAUGACGGUACCGUAAGAAUAAGCACCGGCUAACUACGUG